rnacentral:rRNA from 1 species
UACAGAGGGUGCGAGCGAUAAUCGGAUUUACUGGGCGUAAAGCGCACUUGGGUGGCGACGUAAGUCGGGUGUGAAAGCCCCGGGCUCAACCUGGGAAUUGCAUUCGAGACUGCAUUGCUGGAGUACGGAAGAGGAGGGCGGAAUUCCCGGUGUAGCGGUGAAAUGCGUAGAUAUCGGGAGGAACAUCAGGGGCGAAGGCGGCCCUCUGGUCCAGUACUGACACUCAAGUGCGAAAGCGUGGGGAGCAAACAGG